GGGGCCCGCACAAGCGGUGGAGCAUGUGGUUUAAUCGAAGCAACGCGAAGAACCUUACCAGGUCUUGACAUCCCGAUGCUAUUUCUAGAGAUAGAAAGUUACUUCGGUACAUCGGUGACAGGUGGUGCAUGGUUGUCGUCAGCUCGUGUCGUGAGAUGUUGGGUUAAGUCCCGCAACGAGCGCAACCCCUAUUGUUAGUUGCCAUCAUUCAGUUGGGCACUCUAGCGAGACUGCCGGUAAUAAACCGGAGGAAGGUGGGGAUGACGUCAAAUCAUCAUGCCCCUUAUGACCUGGGCUACACACGCGCUACAAUGGUUGGUACAACGAGUUGCGAGUCGGUGACGGCGAGCUAAUCUCUUAAAGCCAAUCUCAGUUCGGAUUGUAGGCUGCAACUCGCCUACAUGAAGUCGGAAUCGCUAGUAAUCGCGGAUCAGCACGCCGCGGUGAAUACGUUCCCGGGCCUU
rnacentral:rRNA from 1 species